UACGUAGGGUGCGAGCGUUGUCCGGAAUUAUUGGGCGUAAAGAGCUCGUAGGCGGCUUGUCGCGUCGACUGUGAAAUCCCGCGGCUCAACUGCGGGUCUGCAGUCGAUACGGGCAGGCUAGAGUUCGGUAGGGGAGACUGGAAUUCCUGGUGUAGCGGUGGAAUGCGCAGAUAUCAGGAGGAACACCGGUGGCGAAGGCGGGUCUCUGGGCCGAAACUGACGCUGAGGAGCGAAAGCGUGGGGAGCGAACAGG
rnacentral:rRNA from 1 species